AGGCUAAUUGGAGUUAGGUUCCUGUGACUGGGAAGCCAUGAGCUCUUAAUGCCAUGACUGAAUUGCAAAUUCCUCGCAGGAUAUCUCAGACACCCAGCAGUGUUGUGUUUUUCUGAAGACACAUAAAA
rnacentral:snoRNA from 1 species